rnacentral:tRNA from 1 species
GCCUGGGUGGCUCAGUCAGUUAAGCGUCCGACUUCAGCUCAGGUCACGAUCUCAUGGUUCGUGGGUUCGAGCCCCGCAUCGGGCU